rnacentral:misc_RNA from 1 species
CUCUCCCCUCUCCCUCCUUUGUCGUUUUGCAAUCGUUAUUUCUAUUUUUAUUUUUUAUUAUAAGGAGCGAAUAAAUUUGACGUUUCGUCCAACGCGUGCGGCUUUGGUUCACCAUCGCGAUUGGGCGACAUAUGACAGCCGAGCGAAGGUUCGACUCCUCACUAUUUUGUGUUGGCAGAUACGCCACGUUGGAACCGGGAUAUAUAUUUAUUUAUAAAAACAUAGUCGGCCGGGCGGUUUUCAAUCAACGGAAAGGCUGUUUUGCGUUUUUUCUUCAUUGGUAAACGUGAAUUGAUGAACUGGUAAGAGAUGAAAGUCAAGGAAAUAGAACGGACUGUCAACACCUCCUGGUCACCCGUGGACUACCAUCCGAUCCUCUUGGCAGCUGGAACUGCAGCGCAGCAGCUCGAUGCAUCCUUCAACACCUCUGCGGCACUUGAGAUUUACGCUCUCAACCUUACCGAGCCGAGUCUUGACUUAGAGCUUAAGACUUCUGUCCCGAGUGCCCAUCGAUUCCACAAAGUGUCAUGGGGUGGAACAGGGGCUGGUAUUAUCGUCGGAGGUUGCGACAAUGGUGUUUUACAGAUGUACAACGUCUCAAAGCUACUUGAACAGGAAGACAGUCUGAUCGCGAAUCCAGAAAGACACUCUGGGCCUGUUCGCGCACUAGAUUUCAAUCCUUUUCAAAAAAAUCUCCUCGCUACUGGUGCAACUAACAGUGAAAUUUUUAUAUGGGACAUGAAUAACACUGCAACACCAAUGACGCCCGGUAGCAAAUCCCAGCCUUUUGAAGAUGUCGCCUGGCUCGCAUGGAACCGUCAAGUCCAACAUAUUCUUGCAUCCACUUUCCCUACUAGGUCGAUAGUUUGGGAUUUGAGGAAAAACGAGCCGAUAAUUAAACUCACCGAUACUACGACCAGAGUCAGGUGGAAAGUAGUGUCCUGGCAUCCUGAAGUGGCAACACAGUUGUGUUUGGCAUCAGAAGAAGACACAAGUCCCCUCAUACAACUCUGGGAUCUCAGAUUUGCCACGGCACCCGUCAAAACCUUCCAUGGGCAUACUAGAGGUGUACUUUCAUUGGCAUGGUGCAGUCAGGAUCCAGACUUGCUUAUCAGCAGUGGUAAAGAUAAUAAAAUAUUUUGUUGGAAUCCAAACACUAAUGCUCCAGAUGGAGAAAUUGUUUGUGAAAUACCAAAUUCUCAGCAGUGGAUAUUUGAUGUGAGUUGGUGUCCAAGGAAUCCAUCAUUGAUAGUCAGCUCGAGCUGUGACGGUCACACAAGUAUUUACUCUUUAUCUGGAGGAGGCGGAGGCCAAAUGCAGAUUAGUAAUAAUAAGAUUGCAGAAUCCUUCCCAGGAAUGGGCGACUAUUCGGAGACGCAGCUUCAUGCCCAGCAGCCGGUAGUAAACUUGAAAAAUGCACCAAAGUGGCUUAAGAAGCAGUCGAGUGCUCGUUUUGGAUUCGGUGGGAAAUUAGUCACGGUAGGUAAUAGCGGCGUAAACCUACUUCAAGUCCAUGAAGACAGCAGCUUCUUGGAAAGGGCAAGCCAGUUGGACCAGAAAAUCGCGGAAGGGAGGUUUCAUGAGAUAUGCCAAGGGAAACAGGACCCGGUUUGGCGAUUCCUCGAAGCCAGUUUUAGCCCACAUCCCAGAGUCGCAAUUGCAGACCUUCUUGGAUAUAAUAGAGAAUCAGUAUUACAAUUGUUAGGUCUACCAAAGAGUAAAAACGAUGUUGACCAUCUAUCAGGGCAGUUUUCAACUUUAGGACAGGAUGGUCUAGAUAAUGCAGAAGGGCUCGGUCAAUCAAAUUUUGUAAAUAGUCAACAUGUAAAUGGAGGAGACGUUUUUGAGAAUUUAUCAGCCCAACAGACUCCUGAAAAGAAUGCCGCUUUUAAAAUUCAAACAGAAAAUGAUGUGGAUGGCAGAGUGUGUAAAGCUUUGCUUGUCGGUGGAGUCGAAGAAGCAAUAGAAAUAUGUUUAAAUGAGAAUAAAAUGGCCGAUGCACUCAUUCUGGCGAUGGCCGCUGGUCCUGACACCCUCGCCAAAACCCAACUGAAGUAUUUCCAGAAGCGUGAAGGUUAUUUGACUAAUAUAAUUAGUGCACUUGUGAGUGAAGAUUGGUCCUUCGUUAUUCAAAAUUGUGAGCUGACGAGUUGGAAAGAGGCCCUGACCGCCAUUCUGACGUACAGCUGUGAAGAAUCAUUACCAGAACUAUGCAGAGCUCUUGGAGAGAGACUGGAGCAAGCAGGCGGUGAAUUUUCCUCUUGUGCUGAUAUUUGUUACAUUGCAUCGGGUAAUGUUGCUCCCCUUAUUCACAAACGGACUUCAGAAGUGACAUUAACCCCUUCAAAUAUACAGGAUUUGGUCGAACUUGUAUUGGUGGCAAAAGCAGCGAUGGCUUCUCAUGGUCAUAACCUCCCGAUUGUCGGCGAUGUGGCAAAUCUAAUUGUCAACUACGGUGAAAUCCUUGCAGCUCAAGGUGACCUUGUAUCAGCAUUGAAAUAUCUGAAUGACUCGCAGGAUGAGAAAGUGGUUGAAUUGAGAACAAGGCUAGGAUGUGCUUUGGGAGAGACGAUGCAGUCCCAAUAUCCUGUGCACAUGGGAAAUUCCCAAAUGGCUCAGCAACCCAGCAAACAGAUUGUUCAGAAUAUGAGAAAGCAGUCUAUACCUUUCCAAACAGUACAACAAAAUCAACAUUUAAAUUCAUUCGGGAAACCUUCAAAUGUUGGUCAACCUCCAGUACCUCCUAGCCCUGUACCAAUGUCCAAUUACGGAAUGCCAGCUCCACAGGUGCCUAAAGCCAUGCCUGCUCAUACACCGGCCCCUCCACCUCCUGGAAAUGCAUUUACUCGAAACUCGCCGAGCCCUCAGAUACAAGGAAGCACGAUGAAAAAAUAUGUAGUGGAUCCUUCAGUAGGUGGAGGUGGGUAUAACCGAGGGCCUUCUCAAAUGUACAACCAUCAAGGGUCGCACAUGCCUAUGUUCAGUGGAAAUCAAGUUCCUAGUUCAGUACCCAACUUCCAAUCUCCGCCUGUUUCUUCAUUCAACACAGCAGUAUCGAUGCACUCACCGUCUUUCUCUAGUUUCCAACCACCACCAGUUUCAACGUAUCAGCAAGCAACGCCUUCGCAAUUCCAGCCGAAUGUUGGAGGAGCUGGCGAUGGAAGAUUUAAUCCAAAUUUCCCCCCGGCGCAGCAUUAUAAACCGGCUCCUCCGGCUGCUGCUUUACCAGCGCAAGAACCUUCGCAUUUUACACCAGCUCAGAACUUCAAUUAUAACCAGCCAGGAAUGGCAAAUCAAGAAAUUCCGUCAGCUCAACAUGGCCCAGCAUCUGGUUGGAACGAUCCCCCUGUACUUACACCAAGAUCCAAUCAAAGAUCUGAAACCGAGAUGUCUGCAAUACAUUCUGGUUUGAAGAUUUACAAGGCUAAGAAGACUCAGGUAGAAAAGAAAAACAUCGGUUUCACUAGUGUUGGCCCAAACAGGAAUUUACACCUCAGAACCCAAUCACCCACCCUCUGUUUGGAAGUGAGCCACCACCAUUGAAGCCUGAAAUGCAGGCAUCUCAAAACCAUUCGCAACAGUUAGCACAUCAAAGCAUGCCACCUAUGCAGCAACACUAUCAAGCGGCGUCGGUUGGAAGUUAUGGAGAACCACCGAUGUCGAUGAGUAGACCAGCGACUGAAUCAUCUCAGCCGAAACCACCAAUGCCUCAACAUUACCUCCACAUCCAGACAACUUUCGAAGAACUUAGGAAUAAAUGUUUAAUCAAAUCUCAGAAUAAUGCUCUAAUCAAACGAAAACUUGAUGAUGCUGCCAGGAAGCUAGAAACACUGUAUGAACUACUUAGAAAUGGAAUG